UACGUGGGGUGCAAGCGUUGUUCGGAAUUACUGGGCGUAAAGCGCGUGUAGGCGGCGCACUAAGUUCGCUGUGAAAGCCCUGGGCUCAACCCAGGAACUGCAUUGAAAACUGGUGUGCUUGAGUCCGGGAGAGGGUCGCGGAAUUCCUGGUGUAGAGGUGAAAUCCGUAAAUAUACGAAGGAACGCCAAAAGCGAAGGCAGCGCUCUGGGUCCCUACCGACGCUGGGGUGCGAAAGCAUGGGGAGCGAACAGG
rnacentral:rRNA from 1 species